GUGAAUCAUCGAAUCUUUGAACGCAAAUUGCGCUUCCUAGCAUCCCGGGGAGUAUGCCUGUUUGAGGGUCAGUAUUAACAAAAAAUCGGGUUGGGUGCAGAGUGUGAGGUUUCGGGAGUUUGGGCUUAUCUUUACUUUUAUGGUUAAGGGGCAUAAAAGUGAGCUGUUUAGCGCAUUUUUAGACGUACAUAAGUUUUUUUUUAUUCGUCUAUGAUUAAUGCCAAAAUCUUAUUAGGUGCGGUCAGGUCGUGUGGCUGCGUGUCCAUAAAAUUUUCAUGAUUUGACUUCAAAUCAGUUAGGA
rnacentral:misc_RNA from 1 species